rnacentral:tRNA from 1 species
AUGUCUGUAGCAUAGUUGGUUAAAAGCAGCAAUAUAGCAUGUGUCUCAGGUAUAUUGAGUUUGUGAGCUCAAAUCUCUCCAGACACA